rnacentral:rRNA from 1 species
ACUCCUACGGGAGGCAGCAGUGGGGAAUAUUGCACAAUGGGCGCAAGCCUGAUGCAGCCAUGCCGCGUGUAUGAAGAAGGCCUUCGGGUUGUAAAGUACUUUCAGCAGUGAGGAAGGUGGUAGUGUUAAUAGCACUAUCAUUUGACGUUAGCUGCAGAAGAAGCACCGGCUAACUCCGUGCCAGCAGCCGCGGUAAUACGGAGGGUGCGAGCGUUAAUCGGAAUUACUGGGCGUAAAGCGCAUGCAGGUGGUUUGUUAAGUCAGAUGUGAAAGCCCGGGGCUUAACCUCGGAAUUGCAUUUGAAACUGGCAGGCUAGAGUCUUGUAGAGGGGGGUAGAAUUUCAGGUGUAGCGGUGAAAUGCGUAGAGAUCUGAAGGAAUACCAGUGGCGAAGGCGGCCCCCUGGACAAAGACUGACGCUCAGAUGCGAAAGCGUGGGGAGCAAACAGGAUUAGAUACCCUGGUA